UCGAACGAUGAAGCUUCUAGCUUGCUAGAAGUGGAUUAGUGGCGCACGGGUGAGUAAGGUAUAGUUAAUCUGCCCUACACAAGAGGACAACAGUUGGAAACGACUGCUAAUACUCUAUACUCCUGCUUAACACAAGUUGAGUAGGGAAAGUUUUUCGGUGUAGGAUGAGACUAUAUAGUAUCAGCUAGUUGGUAAGGUAAUGGCUUACCAAGGCUAUGACGCUUAACUGGUCUGAGAGGAUGAUCAGUCACACUGGAACUGAGACACGGUCCAGACUCCUACGGGAGGCAGCAGUAGGGAAUAUUGCGCAAUGGGGGAAACCCUGACGCAGCAACGCCGCGUGGAGGAUGACACUUUUCGGAGCGUAAACUCCUUUUCUUAGGGAAGAAUUCUGACGGUACCUAAGGAAUAAGCACCGGCUAACUCCGUGCCAGCAGCCGCGGUAAUACGGAGGGUGCAAGCGUUACUCGGAAUCACUGGGCGUAAAGGGCGCGUAGGCGGAUUAUCAAGUCUCUUGUGAAAUCUAAUGGCUUAACCAUUAAACUGCUUGGGAAACUGAUAGUCUAGAGUGAGGGAGAGGCAGAUGGAAUUGGUGGUGUAGGGGUAAAAUCCGUAGAUAUCACCAAGAAUACCCAUUGCGAAGGCGAUCUGCUGGAACUCAACUGACGCUAAGGCGCGAAAGCGUGGGGAGCAAACAGGAUUAGAUACCCUGGUAGUCCACGCCCUAAACGAUGUACACUAGUUGUUGGGGUGCUAGUCAUCUCAGUAAUGCAGCUAACGCAUUAAGUGUACCGCCUGGGGAGUACGGUCGCAAGAUUAAAACUCAAAGGAAUAGACGGGGACCCGCACAAGCGGUGGAGCAUGUGGUUUAAUUCGAAGAUACGCGAAGAACCUUACCUGGGCUUGAUAUCCUAAGAACCUUUUAGAGAUAAGAGGGUGCUAGCUUGCUAGAACUUAGAGACAGGUGCUGCACGGCUGUCGUCAGCUCGUGUCGUGAGAUGUUGGGUUAAGUCCCGCAACGAGCGCAACCCACGUAUUUAGUUGCUAACGGUUCGGCCGAGCACUCUAAAUAGACUGCCUUCGUAAGGAGGAGGAAGGUGUGGACGACGUCAAGUCAUCAUGGCCCUUAUGCCCAGGGCGACACACGUGCUACAAUGGCAUAUACAAUGAGACGCAAUACCGCGAGGUGGAGCAAAUCUAUAAAAUAUGUCCCAGUUCGGAUUGUUCUCUGCAACUCGAGAGCAUGAAGCCGGAAUCGCUAGUAAUCGUAGAUCAGCCAUGCUACGGUGAAUACGUUCCCGGGUCUUGUACUCACCGCCCGUCACACCAUGGGAGUUGAUUUCACUCGAAGCCGGAAUACUAAACUAGUUACC
rnacentral:rRNA from 1 species